GUACUCACAUUAGUAGCACAUAUACUAAAAUUGCAAAAAUACAGAUAAGAUUAGCAUGGCUUCUGUGCAAGGAUGGCAAGCAAAUUCCUGAAGUGUUUCAUGGUUUU
ensembl:snRNA U6 U6 spliceosomal RNA